AUACGACGUUAUAUUGAUGUACGUAAAUAAAUAAAUAGCGGUAACAAGAGACAUAAGACACGAAGGCCCAUUAGCUCAGUUGGUUAGAGCGUCGUGCUAAUAACGCGAAGGUCGCAGGUUCGAAACCUGCAUGGGCCAAUUUUAUAUUUAUUUUAGGGAUGCGAAAAUCACGAAAUUCGGCGCAACGUAUACAAUACUGCAGAGAUACCUUCGGUGAAAUAUCCAACGGUUUUCGUCGGCUUAGUUGUCGUAAAGCC
rnacentral:tRNA from 1 species